rnacentral:rRNA from 1 species
GACGUAGGGCGCGAGCGUUGUCCGGAUUUAUUGGGCGUAAAGAGCUCGUAGGCGGUUUGUCGCGUCUGCUGUGAAAACUCGGGGCUUAACUCCGGGCCUGCAGUGGGUACGGGCAGACUAGAGUGCGGUAGGGGAGACUGGAAUUCCUGGUGUAGCGGUGGAAUGCGCAGAUAUCAGGAGGAACACCGAUGGCGAAGGCAGGUCUCUGGGCCACUACUGACGCUGAGAAGCGAAAGCAUGGGGAGCGAACAGG